rnacentral:lncRNA from 1 species
UUUCAAUGAAAUUCCAACUCAUAAAAAUAGAAGGAACUAUGGAAAUAUAAAAUCGCCAUUUGACCAACACCGUAAUAGUAAAAUUUUUUUGUUAAGAAUCAUUCGUGGAUACUAAAGCUAGAGGGUAAAAAUAUGAUGAGAAGGAGGAUAUUUACAGUCUCCCAAAGGAUAUUUAUCCUCCCAAAAAUAUUUAUUAAGCCAUAAGGGGAAAAUGAUAACUUUACAGCAGAGAAGCCAGGUAGACACCACGUAAACCCAAGGGAUCAAAGUUGACAUCGGUAGCGAUGGGACAUCUAAACACCCUGUGCCUCCUGAGAGGAAGAACCAAGAAGGACCUAAUGUCACUUUUGUGCUAUUCUUGCCAAAAAUAUAUAAACUGAAUUAAUCAGGAGGAAACAUCAGAUAAAUCCAAAUCAAGGGACAUUUUAUAGAACAGCUCACCAAAGAGAGACUAAUUAAAAGAGGCUAUGCAGGUGGGACCACCAAAUUCAAGAUGUGAUCCUGGAUUGGCCCCGGGCCAUACCGAAGACAUCAUGGAACAAUUGGGAAAUUUUAAAUAAGGUCUCUGGUUUGAAUAACCACACUGGAUCAGUAUUAAUUACCUGAUUUCUAUCAUUGUACUGUGGCUGUGUAUGAUGUUAACACUUGGGGAAUCUGGAUUAAAGGUUCAUGGAAAUAUUUUGUACUACUAUUGCAGCAUUUUUCCAAGUCUAAAACUGUUCCAAAAUGAAAAAGGUUUUAAAAUUUUGAACAGAAACUUCCCUCCCCCAAACACCAGAAAUGUCCAAUAUUCAAACUUGUUUGCUAUGCAGGGUUGCAAUUUAAUAACACCCCUCCAUCCCUCCCACACCUUUGAUAAAAUGCCAUGACACCCAGGUUCUACAGGAUAAAUUGACAAGUCUACACAUAAAAAAUGCUAGAGAGGGUGUGGAGAAAAGGGAACCCCCCCCCAUACUGCUGGUGGGAAUGUAAAUUGGUACAAUCACUGUGGGAAAUAGUAUGGAGAUUCCUCAGAAAACUAAAUAUAGAACUAUCAUAUGAUAUUAUAUAAUCCCACUCCUGGGCAUAUAUCCAGACAAAACUGUAAUUCAAAAAGAUACAUGUACCUCUAUAUUCACAGCAGCACUGUUCAUAAUAGUCAAGACAGGGAAACAACUUAAACGUCCAUCUACAGAUGAAUGGAUUAAGAAAACGUGGCACAUAUACACAAUGGAAUACUACUCAGCCAUAAAAAAGAAUAAAAUCUUGCCAUUUGCAACAACGUGGAUGCAACCAGAGAUUUUCAUACUAAGUGAAGUAAGUCAGAAAGAGAAAGGCAUAUAUCAUAUGAUGUCACUUAUACGUGGAGUCUAAAAUAUGGCAUAGAUGAACCUGUCUACAGGGCAGAAACAGAUUAACAGACAUAGAGAACAGACUUAUGUUCUCAAGGGGGGAUGGGGAAGGAAGCGAGAUAGACUGGAAGUUUGGGAUUUAAUAGAAGCAAACUAUUACAUUUAGAAUGGAUAAGCAAUGAGGUCCUACGGUACAUAGCACAGAGAACUAUAUCCAAUCUCUUGGGAUAAAACAUGUUGGAAGUUAGUAUGAGAAAAAUGAUGACCGACUGAGCCAAAGUCCUAGGACCUGACUCCUUACCCUGCUAGAGGUCACUGAAACCUCCAACUCUCAAAGUCUCCCAAAUGACUAAGAAACAAGGGCUAAACCCAUGACUUCUAUAGGCCCCCCAGUCAGAAAGCCCAUGAAACACCAACAGGGACAAGCCAGAGAUAGACACAGAGAGAUAGAAUUAGGAGAGACAGAAAGGGGGAGACAAGGACAGCACAGGUGAUAUGGAUGGAGAUAGAGGAGGUGACAGCAGGGGCAGGGACAGGUAAAGCUUUAGAGCCUCUGGGAUGUGGGGACAAAGACUGGGUUGUAACAGAGACAGAGAUGAAGGGGAGGAAAAAGGGGGGGAUAGAGGGGGGAAGGUGCAGGACAAGGCUCAGCAAUAGGGACAGGGACAGAGAGAAGUCAAAGCAGACAAAGGACGAAGCCCAGGAGAAUGAAAUACAGUGAUGGGAGGGGAGAGAAAUGCUCUGAGAGCAGGGUGGGUUUGGACCAGAAAAUCUGCACGUUUCUGCCUGGUCCUCAGAAUCCUUGUUUCUCCUACUUUAAAGGAGGGGAAAGAAGACAGAAGGAAGGGUUCUAUGGGAAGAAAGAUUGCAAGGGGCAGGCUGAGCCAGGAAGGAGCUGUGGGGAGAAAGGAGGAGGGGACAAGAGAGGGAUGUCAGUGGAGUGGGGCAGAGAAGGAGGGGGAGUGCCAGGGGAGGAGGAGGAGGGCAUCGGCAUAUUUAUGUCUGGGGUCCCUGCGCCCCUCUGCUCUGCAAUAAACAGGUCUCAACAGUCACAAAGGACAGGCUCUGUCUUCAGGGAGUUUAGAGCUCAGGUCCCCAAAUCACAGGAGUGUGAUGGGGUCUGGGGGGGUGGUCCCCACCGCUGGAUCUGGGGAUCUGGCACCUAAAGGGUGGCUGUGAGGAUAGGGAUCUCGCCCACCCUCCCAGGUGCGGUGGUCCAUGAUGACUGGCUUCACUGCCUGACUUCCAUCUGCAACCAACUUUCUGGUUCUGUCUAGCACUUAUUAUUUUUAAAUGAAAAUGUAUUAAAAUUUUUAUUUUGAGAAUUAUCUGAGAAUUUCACAGCCCCUCUUAAGAACAUCAGUGGUAUCCUAGGGGAGCUGUCAACGGAACUGGGAACCCUUCUGAGGCAGACGUGUGCCAUCUGCCAGCUUCAGAGCUGCUGCCAACAGUCAGUGGUAUCAGCCCCUGGCAGGGGUGGGAAGGGACUCCGAGUGACAACGGUCUUUCAUCUAGAGGUAAGAGCCACCAUGUGGAUGGCCUGAUGGAGAGGCCAGAUCAGGGUUCAGCCUGUGACGGUAGCAGCUUUGUGGCCAAUGUCAUUUGCCAAGCAGAAUUCACUUUCAAAGGUCAAGUCAGGAGGCCACAAAGAUUCCUUCAGGAGCCCUGUCCUGGCCCAGCAGCAUCACCUUCCUGUUAUGCCAUGUAACUGAGAUCCAGUCAAGGCUGAUACCCAGGCCUGCGCCUCAUCAGGCUCACAUCACUUGCCCUGGACGUCCCAGAGAGCUCCUCCUCCCAGCCCCUGCCUCUCCUCUGCCACCAAUCUCCCAGAAAGGCUCUAGUUUUACAGAAUCAAAAGUGCCCAACUACAGGCACUGUUACCCACAGAAGUUCCAGGAAGGAGCCCUUUUGUCUCCGACUGCCCAGCCUGUCAUGCCAUGGCAGACAUCCUCCACGGUGGUUCUAGCUAGAAACGAACAGGUUCGAGGACAUUUCAGUUCCCUUUGUGAGAGUGCUUCCUUAGGUCCAACAGAUCUGCUCCAAGAUGGGACAGCAAUAGUGAACAAGUACCCGGCAACGCUGAGUCCAUGCCAGGCUCUGACACCUCAUCCCAUUCCCAUGACAACGCCGGAGGCAGAUACUCGUCUAUUGUCUCCCUUUUACAGAUUAGGAAGCAGAAGCUCAAGAAGAUGCAUAAACUGUCCUUAUGGCAUAAGAAGGUGGACCACCACUCACCCUGGAGGCUGGAGGGAUGCAGGGGGGUGGGGGGGUGGUCUUGCAGGCAUAAAAUGGGGCAUUUAACCAGGUGGGCUCUGCAAUCUCACUCAGCCCCAGUUUCUGUGACUCUAUGGCUCAAAGUAUCACAAACAAAGGGAAAGAAGGACAUAGAGCUGAUCACGACUUCUUCUCACAAAGAGAAGCAUCUUUAGGAGUUCCCAUUGUGGCUCAGGGGGGUUGAGUCCUACUAGUAUCCAUGAGGAUGCAGGUUUGAUCCCUGGCCUCACUCAGUAGGUUAAAGUAUCCAGUAUUGCCACGAGCUAUAGUGCAGAUCACAGACUCGGCUCAGAUCUGGCAUUGCUGUGGCUGUGGCAUAGGCUGACAGCUGCAACUCCAAUUCGUCUCAGCCUUGGAACUUCUAUGUGCCAUGGGUGUGGCCCUCAAGAGACAAAAGAGAGGAGCAUCUUUGUGCAGAAGCACACCUCCGUGAGUAUUGGGUUUUGAAACGCAGGCCCUCUGUGCGUAACCUGGAAGGUCAGGACCCAGAUAAAGACACAGCUGACAGGCUCUCUGUGAACUACAGGGAAAGUGGGGAUCUGGGGGAUGGGGCCAGAGGGAAGAAGGAAGGAAGGUAACAAAGCCUGGGGCCCAAUGAGGCAGGAUAUGAGCAGAUAUUCCUUAUCAUCCAGGAACAGCCCUGGGACUUCUGUGCUCAAGGAUUCUUUCUUAACACCGACGUUCCAUCCUUUACUGUUCUGCCCUCAGAAAGAACCUUCCCCAUUGUCCCAGCAAUGAGCAUUAUGUUUCACACGCCUUAACCCCUUGGAAUUCUGGGGCAGUGAAGAAGCUGAGGAAGAGCCCAGCGAGGUGAUGUGAUUCCCCAGAGAGGCAAUUUCAGUUGGAGAAAAGGGAAAGGACAUUCAGGAAUGCCCUAGGGUGACCAGGAACUUAGCAGAGGCUAAGGCUUAGCACCUGCAUCCAAGAAUCCUUCAGGUGUUUGUUCAGAGGGAUGCUGGGUUUCCUCCCACGCAACAGAUACACUUCUGGUCUCAAGAUGGCAGCCCAGGCUGCAUCCUGUCCUCCCCACCUCCACAUCCAUAGACGUUAUGCGAUGGUAUAAAGAUAGACACGCUGCAUGUGUGGGGGUGGGGAGUAGAUGGGAACUCUCUGUGCUUUCUGAUUGAUUUCACUGUGAACCUAAAACUGCUCUAAAAAAUAAAUCCCAAUUAAAAUGUUAAAAAUAAGAAGACAGACAACAUAAAAAUAAGUGUGUACAGACAGAGCCACACUUGGAAACUGGGGAGGGACUUGUUUGAAAUCUGGAAACUGAGAAGAGUUUGUAGGGGAAGGAAAGAUGUGGUAGGGAUCUUCAUUGCCAAGUUGAAGAGGGCCGCGUAGCCUGCUGGCAUUCAGGAGCACGCGGGAGAAAUUGUCAUGCAAGAGGAAAAUGGAAAAGCGGACUGCCUCUACUCAAUGCAGUGAAUGUGGGGGCUUGGGUGCAGAGAGCAGUGCCCUGGGCAGUUGACCUUGGAUGAACAAGGAUCACCCACUUCCAGAAGACCAGCCACCAAGGUGCCCUACCUGGUGCCUUGACCCAACCAUUCAUCCACAGGGCUCAUUCAAAAGGGCCAGCUUCCUACUCAGCCCCACGUGGGCUGCCCAACAGCUGAAGGGGAAAGCUCAAGCCUGAAGAUGGGCACAUGGUCAAGAGUCACUGUACAUGACAAGUACAUGUA